GGUAGCGAAUGCCGCAGUGGGCCAGGAGGGCAUUGCCUGGGUGCUGGGGGCUCCUGGCGCCGGGGGUCGGGAGCCGGGCGUGCUGCUUCUGAAGACAG